CAGUAGCCGCGGUAACACGAAGGGUGCAAGCGUUACUCGGAAUUACUGGGCGUAAAGCGUGCGUAGGUGGUGGUUUAAGUCCGUUGUGAAAGCCCUGGGCUCAACCUGGGAAUUGCAGUGGAUACUGGGUCACUAGAGUGUGGUAGAGGAUAGUGGAAUUUCCGGUGUAGCAGUGAAAUGCGUAGAGAUCGGAAGGAACAUCUGUGGCGAAGGCGACUAUCUGGGCCAACACUGACACUGAGGCACGAAAGCGUGGGGAGCAAACAGGAUUAGAUACCCCCGUAGUCCCUGUCUCUUAUAC
rnacentral:rRNA from 1 species